UCCCCAGGUCCUCAGAGUCAUGGCUCUGUGUAGGUUCUAUGUAGGUUCUGUGUAGGUUCUAUGUAGGCUCUGUGUAGGUUCUGUGAAGGUUAUUUGUAGGCUCUGUGUAGGCUCUGUGUAGGUUCUGUGUGUAGGCUCUGUGUAGGUUCUGUGUGUAGGCUCUGUGUAGGUUCUGUGUGUAGGCUCUGUGUAGGUUCUGUGUGUAGGCUCUGUGUAGGUUCUGUGUAGGCUCUGUGUAGGUUCUGUGUAGCCUUUUAACAAAUAUACCCGUGUUGUCAUAUCAUCCAAUGUGGUUCAUGGAAGUAGGUAAGGGAC